GAAAGAGACUUAGGACAGGAGGAGGGUGUUGGUUGUGUUUUGAAACAAAUGGCCUGGAAACUUGAAGAUGGAAUGUGGUGAUAAGAGUACUUGCCCUCAGCCAAGUGCAUGCCUUUAGUCCCAGUACUUGGGAGACAGAGGCAGGUGAAUCUCUUGUGAGUCUGAGGGCAGCCUGGUCUACAGAGAGAGUUCCAGGACAGUCAGGAAAACAGUGAAACCCAGUCUGAAAACCAAAACAAGCCAAAAGAAGUUCUUGCCAUACAUGACCAGACCAUCAUCCUACUCCAUGAAGGACUCGUGGGUCUCUUUGCUUGUCACUCUGCAGGCAGCAUUGAGUGUGACAGUCAUACAUGGAGUUCCAAUCAAGCCUGAGUCAUCAGGGACCGGGAAUUCUCCAAGUCAUCCUGGAACUAAGUCCUCCACCAGACAACAAGGUCCCUCUUAUGCUGGUUAUGAAGAUUGUCUUGCAUCUGCUCCUCAGAGCAUGAGAACCGAUUCUGUGAGUCCAUUGGCCCUGCAGCCAGAAUUCUGCGCUUCCUCCAUACCAUCAUCACCACGACCACCGUCGUCACCACAAACACUAUACCGCUAACACUAUAAUCUUACCAUCUUGACUAUUAGCAUCUAACGUGAGUGUGGAAGGUCAUAAUGGAAAAAUUGUAUUUAAAACCACAUGCCAGGCCAGUUCAGUUGAUUGGCUGCUUUUCUAGCAUGCAUCAAGUCCCGGGCUCAGUGUCCAAAAGCAUGAACCCUGGUGUGGAGGCUUACCGAUAGGGAGGAGGAGGCAAGUAAGUGAGAAGUUCAUGUCAGCAUUAGCUGCCUACUUAGUUCAAGACCCUGUUUCAAAAACAAACCAUUUGUCCAGAUAGAUGUGACUUUGAUUUCUUCACUGUGUUACCUCAGACAAGUUACACCUUUGUAUGCCAGUUUUUACAUUGAUUAUAUGGAGGUGACAAAAAGGCUCAGACGAUUAAGAUGAAAAAAAAAGGUGAUAUAUUGAAAAAAUUUGUUUUGAGACAGGAUGGAGACACAGCUGGCUUGGAAUUCACUAUGGGGACCCCAAUGAUGUUGACAUCUCUGUGAUCAUCCUGUCUCUUGACUGCCAGAGUCACAGGUGUGCAUCACUACACACAGGUGUAUACCCAACUCAAAGUCCAUUCUUCACGCGUUUCUUCUUCAGAAAUUCUUACAGAGAACGAAGAAGAUGUGAUUGAGGCAAAGGGGAUGUGCUAUGAAUGAAGGGUUGAGUUGCCAGCAGGCUGUGUAUGGAAUGAAGCAGCCAACUACAAAAUGAAAAACAUGCCAAUAAUACGUUUUAGCUUGGAAUUAUGUGCCAAGUGAAAUUAUGCCUACUUCUUUCUUUGUGGUUGCCGCCUGUACCCUCAUUUUGUGGCAGCAUCUUGGGUGACUCGAUUGAUCAGAACUUCAGAUUCUCCUGCCCCACCUUCCCAAGUGCAACACUUCACUUGGCUGCCUGCCCAUCUCCCCAUCUUUGGAAGCGGAGGCUCCUAUAGCCCUUCCCCUGCAUGCUGAAACCUAAUAGGUGCCGGCUUCUUCAGUUCCUGAAGUCUGACUGUAACAAAGCCUCAAGUCAAAAGGCGAGCAUGUGACUGACGCUCUUCAGGAGAGGUGUGUGUCCAAAGCAUUAUGAAGGAUACAUGAUUAUGGACCUGACCAAAAGAAAGGACCACUUUCUCUGAACUCACAGAAAAUGGUGUGCGUUCUGUGUUCUGUGUGCAGGACAUUUCGUUUGGCAUUGGACUGUACCACUUUCUGGUUCAUCUUCCUGUUGUAAUAUAUGCAUCACAGGGUUUGUGGGGUAGGCCGGAUUUGUCUCUGAAUUCCUACAGACAUGCACAGAAUUUACCACAAAGUGAGCUCCAAUAAAUAGCUACAGAGUAA